rnacentral:lncRNA from 1 species
CUAACUCUUGACCCAUCUUGUCGAAGAUACUGAACCAGUAAAAGUUCCUGUUUAACUUUUCUUUCUUCUUGGCUUGCUCUUCAGUUUUGGGACCCUUUACCUUCAUUUGCCAGAUUCAAAAAGCAGAUGAGGGAGGAGAGGCCCUAUACCGCUGGCUGGCUGAGACUCUGGUUUGUGCAGGCAAUAUUUGCUCCCCAGCCAGGAUGGCAGGGGAAUCUGGUUGACUAGAACAGUGGUCAUAAUCUUCGCACAUGCCAGAUUUCACAGGGAUGGGAGAAUCAGUACAUCAUCUGCUGUGACUGCAGUCGAAGCCAACUUGGCAAAGUUGUUUCAGUCUGAUUUCAUUCCACUCGGCCACACUCUGGUAAGUGUCUGUUUAAUCACAUGUAUUGUGUUUAAUUUAUGAACCAUUUGUGAAUGUAAACAGUUGGUGAAGCUCAAAACAAAGGAAAUUCACCUGUGAUAGAAGAAAGAGAUCCUUUUGCAAAGAUAAUACUCUUUCGCUUUCCCUUUCUUUUUUGUCUGUUUUUGUUUUGUUACUGUGAGUUGCUCUACAGAUCAUCAUCCAUUAGUGUGCACUGAGAGCACAUGGGAACAGACAAACCUUGCAGGAACAAACAACAAGCAUAGCGGUCAGUGGAGAAAUCCUCAGUCCCUGUGCACAUGAAGCUGAUGGAUCACUGACUUGAAGAGCCAGGUGGUAAUACCCCUUGAGGAAGACACUCCCUGGCAACUUGGAAACCUUGACAUCUGGCUAACCUUCAGCUGGUGGGUGUCUGGCAUUCUCCAUUCACUGCCUAAUUCUGCCCCUGAGACCAAGAAACACCGGACACCAUGGAUCACAGAGCCACUGGACCCCAUGAUGGUGCCUGUUCCCUUUGCAAAAUUCUGUGACUGCCUUGAAGCUGUGAUUUGGCACCACAAGCAAAAAAUCUGUGUGGAUAUGAUGCUAUAUAUUUAUCAAUGACAACUGUGAUCUGGAGACUAAGGGCUUUCACAAUGCAACAGUCUUUAUUCUGGAGGAGUUCAAGUCACAGAGAACUGGUUCAUAAGCAAAUGUUUAGCUUGAAAUAUGUCAGUGAAGCAUCCUAAAUUGUGAGAGAUCUC